rnacentral:rRNA from 1 species
GCUACGGGUGGCAGCAGUGGGGAAUAUUGGGCAAUGGAGGAAACUCUGACCCAGCAACGCCGCGUGAAGGAUGAAGGUUUUCGGAUUGUAAACUUCUGUCGCGAGGGAUGAAGAAUGACGGUACCUCGUAAGAAAGCCCCGGCAAACUACGUGCCAGCAGCCGCGGUAAUACGUAGGGGGCGAGCGUUGUCCGGAAUGACUGGGCGUAAAGGGAGUUGAGGAGGCAUAUUAAGUUAUGUGUGAAAGCCCGAGGCUCAACCGCGGAAUUGCAGAAAAAAAUGUUAAGGUGGGGGCCGGAGGGGUAAGUGGAAUUCCCGGUGUAGCGGUGGAAUGCGUAGAUAUCGGGAGGAACACCAGAGGCGAAGGCGACUUACUGGACUGUAACUGACGCUGAGGCUCGAAAGCGUGGGGAGCAAACAGGAUUAGAUACCCCUGUAGUC